rnacentral:rRNA from 1 species
AUUGAACGCUGGCGGCAGGCCUAACACAUGCAAGUCGAACGAGUGGCGGACGGGUGAGUAAUGUCUGGGAAACUGCCUGAUGGAGGGGGAUAACUACUGGAAACGGUAGCUAAUACCGCAUACCAUCAGAUGUGCCCAGAUGGGAUUAGCUUGUUGGGGGGGUAACGGCUCACCAAGGCGACGAUCCCUAGCUGGUCUGAGAGGAUGCCCAGCCACACUGGAACUGAGACACGGUCCAGACGCCGACGGGAGGCAGCAGUGGGGAUUAUUGCACAAGGGGCGCAAGCCUGAUGCAGCCGUGCCGGGUGUAGGAAGAAGGCCGUCGGGUUGUAAAGUACGUUCAGCGGGGAGGCGUUACCCGCAGAAGAAGCACCGGCUAACUCCGUGCCAGCCGCCGCGGUAAUUC